rnacentral:rRNA from 1 species
AUACAUGCAAGUCGAGCGAACAGACGAGGAGCUUGCUCCUCUGACGUUAGCGGCGGACGGGUGAGUAACACGUGGAUAACCUACCUAUAAGACUGGGAUAACUUCGGGAAACCGGAGCUAAUACCGGAUAAUAUAUUGAACCGCAUGGUUCAAUAGUGAAAGACGGUUUUGCUGUCACUUAUAGAUGGAUCCGCGCCGCAUUAGCUAGUUGGUAAGGUAACGGCUUACCAAGGCAACGAUGCGUAGCCGACCUGAGAGGGUGAUCGGCCACACUGGAACUGAGACACGGUCCAGACUCCUACGGGAGGCAGCAGUAGGGAAUCUUCCGCAAUGGGCGAAAGCCUGACGGAGCAACGCCGCGUGAGUGAUGAAGGUCUUCGGAUCGUAAAACUCUGUUAUUAGGGAAGAACAAAUGUGUAAGUAACUAUGCACGUCUUGACGGUACCUAAUCAGAAAGCCACGGCUAACUACGUGCCAGCAGCCGCGGUAAUACGUAGGUGGCAAGCGUUAUCCGGAAUUAUUGGGCGUAAAGCGCGCGUAGGCGGUUUUUUAAGUCUGAUGUGAAAGCCCACGGCUCAACCGUGGAGGGUCAUUGGAAACUGGAAAACUUGAGUGCAGAAGAGGAAAGUGGAAUUCCAUGUGUAGCGGUGAAAUGCGCAGAGAUAUGGAGGAACACCAGUGGCGAAGGCGACUUUCUGGUCUGUAACUGACGCUGAUGUGCGAAAGCGUGGGGAUCAAACAGGAUUAGAUACCCUGGUAGUCCACGCCGUAAACGAUGAGUGCUAAGUGUUAGGGGGUUUCCGCCCCUUAGUGCUGCAGCUAACGCAUUAAGCACUCCGCCUGGGGAGUACGACCG